ACGGCCAUAUCUCGUUGAAACGCCGGUUCUCGUAGGAUCACCGAAAUUAAGCAACGUCGAGUCUCGUCCGUACCUAGAUGGGUGACCGCUUCAGUAUACUAGAUGCUGUAA